CAAUAAUAAUAGCAAAAAUAAUAGUAACAGCAUAAAUAAUAAUAAUACAUCUAAGGCUGUUUCACCCUUAGAAAUAAAAAACAAAAAAAUGAUUAAUCCAUCAGUAUAUGUAAAAAAUAAUAAUAAUGAUAAUAACACUAGUAAUAAAUACUCGCAAAUUCGUACAACAUCUAAAUUAAAUAAAAGUGUGUAUGUAGAUAAGAAUUUAAAAAUGGGAAAUAUCAGUAGGAAUAUAAAUAAUAGUAUCACUGGAGGUAUAAAAAAAAUGGAUACUCUACACAAUAAGGAUACUCUACAUAAUAAAAGUGUAUAUGUAAAUAACAAUAUAGGAAAUAUAAAUACAGUUGUUCAUAAAAAAGAUGUAAAAAGUAGUAUUUAUAAAAGUACAUUUGUUCCUAGUAGUAGCAUUAGAUCUAUGUCAUCAUCGUCUUCUCAUAUAAAUAAAAGUAUUUACAUAAAUUCGAAACUAAUGAAAAAUAAAACUAGUAAUAUAAGUGCAAAUUCAAAUGAUAAUUUACUAGCUGCUAGUAAGUUGUCUGUUUUUAACAAAAAUAAUGCAACAAAUAGUAACGACAAUAACAAAUUGAAUAUAAUAAAACCAGGACAUUUAUAUAAUAGCAUUUAUUUAAAAAAAAAAAAUACUUCUAGUAUAUCAAGUAACAAUAAUAGCAAUCAGCUAAUUAACAACAACAAUAUAAAUAAAACAUCUUAUAAUAAAUAUAAUACACCUUCUAAUGAAGUAAAAAAAAGAAAACUAGAAGAUGAAUUUUCAUCAUAUUCGAACAAUUCAAUAAUAACUAAUGUGAAUUCAAAAAACAGAAUAAAUAAUAUUAACUAUGGUUGUGGUAAUAAUAGUGGAAUACAAAUAUCGAAUGCUCAAUGUGACGAUAGUAAUAAAUAUAUGGAUUUAAUUAAAAAAGAAAAUAUGUCUGAAGAAGAUUUAAAAGAAAUUAACAAAAAUUCAAAAUGUGUUAAUAAUAUUUCAAACAAUAUUAUAAAUGAAAAAGAAGAGAAUCAUAAAAUGAAUAAACAACUGACUGAUUAUUUGAUUUCUUUAUAUACUCCUUUGACGAUGGGAGAUGUAGAAAGUUUCUUUGAAGGUAAUUAUACAUUUUGUAAAAAUGAUACUACGGAAGGAUAUGUUUCUACGAGUGAUAUUACUACUACUACUACUACUAGUACUGGUAGUACUACCACUAGUAAUACCACUAGUACUACUACUAGUACUACUACUAGUACUACUAUGACAGAUACAUAUAAUACGAUAAAAAAGGAUGUCAGCACAAUGACCGAUACAGUUCUAUAUAUGGCUGAUGAUGGUAUCUCAAAAUCAUUAUAUAAUAUUAAAGAAAAUGAAAAAAAUGAUACAGGAGAUGCAAACAUAAAUAUGUCAAACAUAAAUAUGUCAAACAUAAGUAUGUCAAACAAUAAUAAAUUAAAUAACAUUAACGACUUAACUAAUAAUAUAAAAAAUAAUAUAAUACCAUUUUCUGAUGAAUUGAAUAUAAAUAAAAAUUUGAUUAAACAAGAAAAAUCAUCAGAUGUACAUUACAGUUUACAUAUCAAUAAUGAGUCGAACAAACUAAAUGAUGCAUUGUUACUAAAUCGAAAAAAUGUUAUUCUAAAUAUAAAUAAAGAAGUAAUGCGAUUAAAAGCGCAAGGAAAUAAAGAAAAGACAAUGGACGAAGAAGAAAAGGUAAGGGUAGGAACAUGGGGAGAAGUAGGAACAGACGUAAUGACAAUAAAAAUAGAAGACGAAAAUUAUAAUGAUUUGACAAAAACAGGACGAGUUAAUGAUGAAUUAAACUUAAAAAAACAAGAGAGAUUAAUGUUAAAUAAAAUUCCUUUGACUAAUUCUUUGAAGAAAAAUUUACUUUCCUGUGGAGAUUCAGAUGCAGGUUCUGCUGCAGGUUCUGUUGCAGGUUCUGUUGCAGGUUCUGUUGCAGGUUCUGUUUCAGAAACAAAAGAAAAUGAUCAAAUGAAUAAACAUAACAUAGUAGAUAAUAAUCGAGCCAAUUUUCACAUUGAAAUGAAUUUAAAUUUUGAAUAUAUUACACUGGAUUUAGUUGAUUUGGAUGUUGCCAUAAAUGAAGGUUUACAUUAUUACAAAAAAGUGGAAGAUAGUUAUAUAGCAAGUGAAAAACAUAUACAAAAUAUAAUUCAAUAUAAUAAAAUACUAAAAAAAGAAAAAAACACUGUUACUUCUGGUAUGAUUUGUUUAAGUAUGUAUGAUAAGGAUGGACUUAAUGAAAUUCUUUUUAAACGUAGUUCUAUGAAGAGUGGAAAAGAAGAACAAAAUAAAAUUAUUUAUUUUAAAUCUUCUGAUGAAAUAAAAAAUGAAAUAAUUAAAUAUAUUGGGGUGUCUAUAUUCUAUUGUAUAGCUAGUGAAUCAUUGGUUCCAUCUGCUUCAUUAAUAAAUGAUAAAAGAUUAGAAUUAUGGUUUACUAAAAAAAAAAAACAAAAAAUAAAUACAAAAAUGUUACCCGAUUCUAAAAAUAGUGGAACUAAUUUUAGAUUUCAAAAAAAAAUAACAAGAGCUAGUUGUAUUGGAUACUUUUCGCAACCUAUAACGAUAAUGUUAUGUUCAUUGAAAAGAAGAAAUGAAUAUAAAAAUUUGAAACGUAUUAUAAGAUCAAUUAUAAAAUGUACUUGUGAUUCUUCUACUCUUGAAAUUAUUUUACAUACUAUACCUGAUGAAUUUAGUAAACAUUUUUCACUUUGGAAUGAAACAGUAAAACAGUUAGAUGCGCAUGUGGGAGCAGAUAAAAAAAAAGAAAUAAUAAAAAAAUAUUUUUUAAAAAAAAAACAAAACGUUAAAGAUAGAGUAGAAGCUGGAUUAGAUACAGAGUGGUCAGACACAAGUGUAUCAGACCAAAAUGAUUCUGACACUGAUUAUAACGGACGCAAUAAAUAUUAUAAUAAAAAUAGUAGUAGUAGUAGUAAUAAGGAAGAUAAAUUUAAUUUUAAGCAAUAUGAUUAUAUGAAAAAAAUGAAUAAUUAUAACAACAAUGGAUUAAAUAUGAAUGAUUAUUUUUCAACAGUUAAUGACACAAUCGAAAAUGAGGGAAGUAAUUUAUCUAAAAACGUAAUAAAUUUAUCGAAAGAACAAUAUAAUAUAAAAAAUAAAGAAGAUAAAAAAAAAAAGAACGAUGAUUUUAACAUAUUAGAAGAUGAAGAGUUUUGUUUAUUUAUUUGUUCGAUAAAAAAUAUACAUAAACGAUUCAAAUAUUUAAUAUUAAUAGAAAAUUUUGAUUAUAUAUAUAAAGAUUUACUAAAACAUAUAAUAAACAAAUUACAUAUGAUUGAUUUGAUAAUAAAUAAACAUAUUUUAUUAAAACAACUUUUUUGUAAUAUUUUAUUUUUAUGUAAUUGGUUAAACACACCAAAAAAUUAUAAAUGGUUUCAUUGGAAUGUUGUAUUGAAAAAAAUGGAAAAAUUGUAUGGAUAUUUAGAAAAUGGUCGAAUAUCAAGAGAAAAGUGUAUUAUGCUUCUUUUAGCUGAACAUACAGGAAAAAUAUUUACUGACAAAGAAUUAAAUGAAUUUAAAAAAAUAAAUAAAUUUUGUGUAAAAGAUAUUUAUGAAAAAUCUGUUGAUUUUAUAAAUUGUUAUUUAGAAUUGUUAAACCAAAUGUAUAACAACGAGUUUCAAAUGUCUUGUUGUAUUUUAUGUGAAAAAGAAAUUAAUGAUAAAAUAUCAUCGAAAUUACCUGAACAAAUAGGAGUUGAUAUUAAUUCCAGUACAAAUAAUAAUUCAGUUAUAAGUGAUGAAGAUAAAUUUUUAGAAAAAAUAGAUAAAUUUACUAAAGAUAAUUAUAAAAAAAUGCUUUAUAUUAUUUGGAAUAUAGUUCUUUUAAUUAAAAAGUAUUUAAUUCUUAUUAUUUGGUUUGGAGAUAUUAAACCAUUUUUUCCUUUUUUUAGUUAUACUGAUGAAAACAAAAAAAUUAUACAUUCUGAAGAUUUUUUUGUUAAUUUUUUUCUUUUUUUUGAGUCAUACAAUAAAUAUAUAAAUAUGAUACAAGUUAAAAAUGAAGAUAAUGUAAAAAACAAAAAUAUGUUAUUAAAUAAUCACACUUCGAAUUUGAAUUCUGCCAAUGGUUAUAUUAAUAAUAAUAACAACAAACAGCUAAGCAUGGUAAAUGAAAUCAAUGAUUUCGGUUAUAAUACCCAUGUAGAUAUUGGUAUAAAACAGAAUGGACUUUUUGGAAUAAAUAACCAAAGAGGCAAUGACAUGUACAUUAGUGUAAAUAACGAAGUGGGUGUGUGUAGAGAAGUGGGUGUAUAUAGUGGUGUGGAUGUAUAUAACAGUGCGAGUGGCUAUAACAGUGUGAGUGGCUAUAACAGUAGGAGCAAAUUGAUAAAUGAUGACGAGUUUAAGAUAGAACAAACUGAAUUAAAAAAAAGAAAGUCGCUUACAAACACAAUAAAUUAUGCAUGUGAAGUGAAAAGAAAAAGUAUAGAAAAGGAAAAGAAGAGAUCGGUUCGAAGGUUAAGUUUUGAAAACUUUUGUGAAGCAGAAUUUGAAUAAAUAAUUUAUUAAAAACAUAUUAUUCACAGUUGUGUAAUUGGGUUCGCUCUGGUAUUGGUAUUGGUAUUGGUAUCGGUUUUUAUUUGUUUCGCUUUUAUUUAUUUGACACAACUGGUUCCCAUCUUAUUACUAUUACUAUUAUUAUUAUUAUUAUUAUUAUUAU
ensembl:lncRNA